UACGUAGGGUGCAAGCGUUGUCCGGAAUUAUUGGGCGUAAAGAGCUCGUAGGCGGUUUGUCGCGUCUGCUGUGAAAACCUAAGGCUCAACCUCGGGUCUGCAGUCGAUACGGGCAAACUAGAGUAUUGCAGGGGAGACUGGAAUUCCUGGUGUAGCGGUGGAAUGCGUAGAGAUCCGGAAGAACACCGGUGGCGAAGGCGGCCUGCUGGGCUAUGGCUGACACUGAGGCGCGACAGCGUGGGGAGCAAACAGG
rnacentral:rRNA from 1 species